UAAGUCAUAUAUCAUAACUUAGAAUCAAAAUGAUAUUAAGCAUUGCCACUUCAUACUAGCAUACCAAAUAGGUGUAUAUACACUAUCUACACAUGUAUCUUAAUAAUUCACAUUAGGUUCGUCUAUACACAACAAAAGGAGACUCGAUGUCCAGUGGAGAGACUCAGACGAAUGUACAGCUACUGAAUGCUGAGACACUUACCAAAAGUCGAGUCUACAAAGGUACCUCGACCUAGUUACUGGCUGUCUCUUAAUCUGAAAACAUGAAGUUGAAAGCGGUGAGCAUAAACUCAGUGAGUGAACAAAAAAGGAACAAGCAUACCAUAAGGAAUGUUUAUCGAAAUCAUGAUGCACUCAUUUUCUCAAAACAAUGCAAUUUGUUCUAGUUCUUAGUAGAACCCCUCAUGUAAACCCCUCAUGAGUAAAUCACUUAAAAGAUCCAUACUCAACUAUGGUACCAAAGAAUCAAAAAAUCUACCAAAACCCACAAGUUCGCCAAAAUGGACAGAAAGUUUCUCAUUGCAGCGAACUUCAUUCUCGCUGCAGCGAGAACCAAGUCUGGUGAAGGCCCUCAAACUCGAGAAUUUCUCGCUACAGCGAGAAUAAAUCUCACUGCAGCGAGGAUCAGAACAUCAAGGAAAAAGUCUCAUUUUCCCUUAAAACAAGCCAUCUUGCUAAAAUAACAAUAGCAACAUGUAACACUUGUAAACUCCCAAAUUUCAACAAAUCAAAUGCUCACAUAUUUGCAUUUACAACCAUAUACCCAUCAUCAUCAUGCACACCAUCCCAUCAUCAUCAUUCCCAGCUCAUGCACACUCCCUACUCACACAUGGCUAGGUCAUCACCGGGUUAUGCGCACUCCCUACUUGCACAUAACCGGGUCAUCACCGGGUUAUGUGCACUCCCUACUCGCACAUAACCAGGUCAUCAUCGGCUUAUGCGCACUCCCUACUCGCACAUAGUCGAGUCAAUAUCAUUACACAACAAUGUAUUCAUAUAUAUAUAUCAACACAAUGUGGUAGUGCAUGAAUCAAUAAUAGUCACAUGUCACAACAUGAAGACAAUCUAUCAAAAGCUUGUUCCCAAGGCACUUGUUUUUAUGAAAAGCUGGAUAAUCCAUUUAAAUGUUUGACAAAUACAUUAUAUCCCCAAAACAAGUUUUGAAAUGCAAGUCCACUCACCGAUAUUGGGAGUAGAAAUAUUCCUAUUUUCAGUCCGCGGGUAUAGUCCUUUACCCGUAUCCAAUGGCUCACCACCUAGCCAUAAUCCAUGACACAUAUUCCAAUUAAAUUAUGUCUAAUAGUCAUAAGCUAUUUCAGGCUCGAUAUAUAUAUGAUAUGAAAUUAAAAAUGCACAAGUGGGCAUCUAGACUCGGUAUUGGCGUAAGUCGAUUUUUCAUCCGAUAAAUUAGCCAAUGUGUCCAAUUUCACUCCAACUUGCUCCAUUUCUUUUUCAAUCCCUCAAUUCACCAAGCACAAACUAAUUAACACACAAUUAGGCAAAAUUUAUCUUCAUUUUUCUUCUUGGAACUUUGGCCAACAAUGGUACACUAACUCUGUGAUUUUUCCUACUUAAUUUUCUCACCAUUAUUCAUUAAUUCCUACACCAAAAACUAUUAUUUCUUAAUCAAAUCACCUAGAAUAACAUCCCAUUCUUCCUCAUUAUUCACUUAGAGAAUUCGGCUAUUGAUGGGCACCAAACCUUUGGUGGUUUUCUUCACUUGUUUUCAUGCUACACAUCAUUAAUCACCUAAAAACACUAACAUACCUAAAAAUCAAACCAAUCCAAGAUCAUUCUCUCUCCAUACCCAUUUUGACUACCACUUAUUCACUAUGAAAUCAUGUUUCUCAACCAUAGAAAUAAGAAAAUAAAGCAUGGGUAUUGUAAAUCUCAAGUAAAAAUAAAGAAUUUUCACUUUACCUUGCUUAAUUCCUUGGAAUCCCACACUUUUUCUUCAAUUUUCCCACCUAGGGUUUGUGUUCUUUCCUUUCCUCUUCACUUCAUGCUUUGGCCAGCCAUAUGAGUGAGACUAAGAGAGUUUUAGAUAGAUUUUACAAGGCAAUUCUAGAACGAUCCAAGCUUGACACAUGGCAUGUUUCCAUUGGUCCAUGUGUAAUACUUAUCCAUUAAGCAAUCUCUCUCCACCAUAUAAAAUGUUUCAAUUAUCCACAAUGUAAAAUGUUAAUGGCUGAAAUCCAUGGGCAUGACAAGUGUCAGGUGGUGUAAAAUUCCAAAAAUUCCCAUUUUGUCCUCGAGUGACAAAAUUACCAUUUUGCCCCUAGAACAUAAAAAUCAUCAAAAUUUUUAUUUCCUUAUCAUUUCACCCAUAUUUUCAUCAUUCAUUUAUGCUUUAGGCCUACUUAAGCCAUAAUAUUAUUUAAAACUUACUUUUAUGGGCUUAUUGAGAAAAUGACGAAAUUACCCCUGAUUAGGGAUAUCGCGUAUAUUUCUAUCUACGAGUCUAUAAAAGUCAAGGUCUCACAUUCUCCCCCACUUAAAGAAAUUAGGUCCUCGAAUUUAAAUUCAACUAUAAGGUGACUUACCUCUAUGCAACAAGAAUGUGGGGAUACUUUGUCCGCAUAUCCUUAUCGGCCUCCCAUGUUACCUCUUCACUCCAUCUGUGCCUUUGGUAAACAUUUUUCCUUUUCUUGCUUGAGGAUUCUAUAAGGCCUUAACUACAAACUCAUCUUUACCUUGUGUUUCUUUAAUCUUGUCCAUUAAAAUAGGCCUCACUCUAAAAUAUGCUAGCUCGACUGAUCGGACACUAGAGCAUCCCAAACCCUUACAUAUUUUCUCAUUCUAAUCUAAAAAGAUCUGGGGCUUCUCUAAGGCAUCAGACCCUGAAAAUGAUGAAGGCUUAAGCUUAAGAAAACCAGGAAGAGAAAUCUCUAAGUGAUCCCUUUCAACCUCAUGAUAUUGGCGGUCGGCUUGUCCUUGGGAGCUAGGGGAUUCUUGCACUGUAGGUCUCCCCUCUACUGCCCUCUGUAUAUCCUCCAUACGGGUUGCCAUCAUCUCUACAACCCGAUUAACUCCUUGUAGGGCUGCCACCAAAUCUUCAAAGGUAAUACCCUCAACUGGGUGUCUAUCUACAUCACUUGAGGGUUGUCCCUCAUCUCGCUUACUCACAAGCGUAUCCACCUUCACUGGCCUAUUGGCCCUGCCAUGUCUACCUCGGCCCCUUAAGGUGGAUGCCCGUGGCCUAUCUGCCAUCUCAAUAGGAGCAUCUUGCUCCCCCAUCCGUCUUGAGGCUGCUCGUGUCUUAGGCGACAUUCUUACCAAGGCAAGAGCAAACACCUAUUACUAAACACAUUUCAUAAUCAUACUUAAGGAAAAAGGUGGUUUCUAAGAUAGGGAAUCUAUGCGGUCCCUUGGUUGUAAAAUGCACCGCGGUUCACACUUCACAACCGAAGUUCCCACAUAAAAACCUGACAUUUCGCUGGACCAACAAAUGGAAGUCCUAGGACCUAGACAAACCUAGAGCUCUGAUACCAACUUUAAUCACGACUCAAAUUUUGGGCCAUGACCGGCGCAUAGGCCGAAUGGAUGUAGUCCACUAAGCCCAAGCAAGCCUAUUAAUCUGAUAUGUUCAUCAUUCCAUCAUAAACUACUAAGUCAUAUAUCAUAACUUAGAAUCAAAAUGAUAUUAAGCAUUGCCACUUCAUACUGGCAUACCAAACAGGUGUAUAUACACUGUCUACACAUGUAUCUUAAUAAUUCACAUUAGGUUCGUCUAUACACAACAAAAGGAGACUCGAUGUCCAGCGGAGAGACUCGGACGAAUGUACAGCUACUGAAUGUUGAGACACCUACCAAAAGUCGAGUUUGCAAAGGUACCUCGACCUAGUUACCGGUUGUCUCUUAAUCUGAAAACAUGAAGUUGAAAGCGGUGAGCAUAAACUCAGUGAGUGAACAAGAAGGGAACAAGCAUACCAUAAGGAAUGUUUAUCGAAAUCAUGAUGCACUCAUU
rnacentral:lncRNA from 1 species